UACAGAGGUCUCAAGCGUUUGUUCGGAUUCAUUGGGCGUAAAGGGUGCGUAGGUGGCGUCGUAAGUCAGGUGUGAAAUCUCGGGCUCAACCCCGAAACUGCACUUGAUACUGCGAUGCUCGAGUACUGGAGAGGAGAUUAGAAUUUACGGUGUAGCAGUGAAAUGCGUAGAUAUCGUAAGGAAGACCAGUGGCGAAGGCGAAUCUCUGGACAGUUACUGACACUGAGGCAACGAAGGCCAGGGGAGCAAACGGG
rnacentral:rRNA from 1 species